UACGUAGGGUGCAGGCGUUAAUCGGAAUUACUGGGCGUAAAGCGUGCGCAGGCGGUUUGCUAAGCCAGAUGUGAAAUCCCCGGGCUUAACCUGGGAAUGGCAUUUGGGACUGCAAGGCUUGAGUGCGGCAGAGGAGACUGGAAUUCCUGGUGUAGCAGUGAAAUGCGUAGAUAUCAGGAGGAAUACCGAUGGCGAAGGCAGGUCUCUGGGCUGACACUGACGCUCAUGCACGAAAGCGUGGGGAGCAAACAGG
rnacentral:rRNA from 1 species